rnacentral:rRNA from 1 species
GGAAUAUUGCACAAUGGGGGAAACCCUGAUGCAGCGACGCCGCGUGAGUGAUGAAGUAUUUCGGUAUGUAAAGCUCUAUCAGCAGGGAAGAUAAUGACGGUACCUGACUAAGAAGCACCGGCUAAAUACGUGCCAGCAGCCGCGGUAAUACGUAUGGUGCAAGCGUUAUCCGGAUUUACUGGGUGUAAAGGGUGCGUAGGUGGCGCAGCAAGUCAGAAGUGAAAACUAUGGGCUCAACCCAUAGACUGCUUUUGAAACUGCAGUGCUAGAGUGCAGGAGAGGAAAGUGGAAUUCCUAGUGUAGCGGUGGAAUGCGUAGAUAUUAGGAGGAACACCAGUGGCGAAGGCGACUUUCUGGACUGUUACUGACACUGAGGCACGAAAGCGUGGGGAGCAAACA